GCUAGCUGUUGCCUGGGAGGCUGAGUCUCAUACUUAUACUUUUUCAUUGAGACACAAAGCAUGAAGACUGCAUUUCCCACACUUUCCUGACAAGUGGCUUUUCAGAUACCAGGACUCUUCACUGACAUAUCCAGGCUCUGAACCACACUUCAACCCUCAGACAACAGCUGGUGCAAUUUCAAAGCCCCCAAGGGAACCUGCUGGUUGUACAGACAUUUUCAACAUUGCCAGGAUUACUUUAACUGGACUCUCUUCAUAAUUCCUUCCUUCUCUUGAAAAGGCCAGGAUGGAGACAUCUCAGAAGCCUGUGGUGGCUUCUCUUUGUAAAAAAAGAAGAAGAAGAAGAAGAAGAAGAAGAAGA
rnacentral:lncRNA from 1 species